CCUGAGAAUGUUUCAAGGUCACCAAAAGCUUUCUGAAAAUGCCUUUCUGCAAAGAAGGUUUCCAGGUACCAUUGUCUUAAAGAAAUCUCUGCGACAGAGUCAACAUCAUACACUCUAAGCUCUAGAGCUAUAUUUUGUAAAAACAAAAAAGGUUUCCCUGCUUCACUUUGCCUGCGGACCCCCUUCUGAUGAACUCCACUCAGGCCUUGUUCCUGGAGCCCUCUUCCUCUGGCUGCAAUCCAGAGCAAGUUGCUGUCUGGACUUGUUGAAAAGCUGUUGUCCUGAGACUUCUCUUCAAAUUCUAAGGAAAAAUUUACUUUUUCUCAGGAUUCUAAACCCAAUCAAAUAAUCAAGUGUAAAGGCAAAAUAGAUACAAAAUGUACCUUGCAAAUACUCUAGGAAGCUACUGGAAGAAAGGCUUCAGCAAAUAAAGGAAGUGUAUGAAGAAAGAAAGAAGCAUGGCACAUUGCUACCUUAACUAAUAAAAAUCUCUGAACUUUCCGGUCCCAUCUGAGGAAGCAAAAAUGCUACUUGCUGCAAAAACGACACCAUUUAUCACACUGCAACAAAAGCAAUGUAUAGGCAUGCCUUGGGGAUAUGUGAGUUUGAUUCCAGACUACUUCAAUAAAAUGAAUACUG
rnacentral:lncRNA from 10 species